UGCAGCACUGGCGUUUGUUCAUAUGGCAGAUCAUAUGGUUGGGGCAUUGUGAUGUCAUAUGGGGCGUGGGGGGGAUUUUCUUUUGCCUAGGGCGGCAAAAAUCCUUGAAUGUUACUUUGUUUUCAUUGGUUGAUUAUAUAAUUGAUCUGUGCUGCUGGAGGUUUGAGUAAAGAAAGUUAUGUAAAAUAUGAAGCCUUCUGUCAUGUGGUAAAAUUCACUGUGAAUAAACCCACAAGUCUAAAGUGUUAAAGAGAUAACAUUUUUGUCAUCCAUUAAAAUAUUUUGUAUGAUAUCAGACAAUGCUGUAAAUAUAAUUUUAG